UACGUAGGGGGCAAGCGUUUGCCGGAAUCUUGGGCGUAAAGCGCGUGUAGGCGGUCGGUAAGUCCGCUGUGAAAGUCGGGGGGCUUAACCCUCGGAUGCCGGUGGAUACUGUCGGGCUUGAGUACGGAAGAGGCGAGUGGAAUUCCUGGUGUAGCGGUGGAAUGCGCAGAUAUCAGGAGGAACACCAUAGCGAAAGGCAGCUCGCUGGGACGGUACUGACACUGAGGCGCGAAAAGCGUGGGGGAGCGAACAGGGAUUAGAUACCCC
rnacentral:rRNA from 1 species